CCCUUUUUGUGGGAAACCUUCUCGGUCUUCUCCACCAGUCCGAUCUUGCUCUUUUUGUCGAUCACUCUGCAUCAUGUACGGAAAGUGAUCUCUUUGGCCGGUCGGACGAGCAGUACACUGCCGCUCAAGUUUAACAGAGUACACAGUGCGUUCAGAAUGCUGCAGUGCUUUGUUGCACUUGGGAAAAAUAUCUCAUGGAGAGACUCCUUGUUGCGCGCUGACACAAAUUCACGUUGGUGUGCUCUCUUGGCAAAUUGAUCGUCUUGACGUGCGUUUUCCGCUUGUUCCUCGAUCUUCAUGCGCAAUGCAAAUUCGAGCCAGCGCGCCGCGUGCACCGGUGUGCGCCAGCUGUCUGAGUGGACGGUCGUAGAGAGGAAGCUGGAACAACCCACUUAAUCGAAGGCAGGCAGAUCUUAACGGGAACCAAAGAACUGAGCCAUUGCUCGCCCCAAAGCUAAUCGGGCGGUAGAAAGAGCUGUGUCUCCGUAGGAUCUGUCUUUCUGAACUUCCGGCGACCCGAGCAACGUUCCUCGGUGUCCCCGUGUGGCCCCACAUGUGUAUGUAUCUUCUGGGGAAGAGGCAUUCCCUCAAGUGAAUGCGUUGCCGCUAGUCCAUGUGUAAGUGGCUAUGUAUGUCCGUUGAUAUUGGUGUACGUUUCAACAGAGUGCCGACAGUGCGAAGAGUUGCCCAUUUUCAUGCUGCCUCCUGCUGGGUCACUGCACGACGUCAAGCGCGGCCGUCGGCCCGUCGAUUGCGGACUACGUCUUGCCGGACUGGCGGUGAGCGAUUUUGUUCCAUUUUUACUGUUGGCCUCGCAAGCUACGUGUACAGACAGAAAGGCUGUGCCAACUCCUAGUGCGAACAGGGGCAAGUUCCACCAUGCGGAGUUGAAAUGCUCGCGUGUUGUGAACGGCAGCUCCCACUCCAGAGCACGAUGUACUCGGUCACCGCGGCGUGAAAGCCCAGAGGUCAAAGAGCACUUUCAUGCUUUGCCUCAUUUUGUGCAGUGUUGGUAGCGCAUCGUGCGGAGUGUUCACAGGAACACUGUCUUGCCUAAGUGCUUUACCAGGACGACUCUCCUCUCUGGAUGCUAGAGAAAAAACCAUAGUCUUCGGAUUGCAGCACAUCCAAGCACCGAGUUCGAAUAGCUCGUGUGUCAUGCGUCCUAGGACCGACCUAGCACUGCCACCGGUGGCGGCAUUCCGCGGUCAAUGACGUGGCGUUGUUUUGAGUUUUUUGCCUUCCGUUUUCUACGAGAACUCAGAAUAAGUCGACGACGCUUUCUGUGUAGAAGGAUUAUACCUGAUCAGAGCAAUGCGCUGCAUCGGGUUCGUCACAAGCUUUUCUCGGUUCACCCCCGAUUGCGGUCGUUGUGACGGACACUAAAUCGGCGGCAUCCAUGUCGGCUGGUUUAAAAGCACUCAAUCCGAAGCCCAAAUAACUCUCCAUAAAGCCACGGUUGUGGCGAUCCAUCGGGUGAAAUGUGUGGUCGCGGUUAUUCUCUUACCCUUGCAUGAAGCCGAUGUCCGCAUUAUUAAGGACAAACGUUUUAUUUAUGAACCCGUUUCCACGAAUCUGCAUCUGCACAACUGAUCUUGAAUCCCGUGCAUCGGACCAGUCAGACGAAAAGAAGUAUCGGGCACCGUUGUAAUUUGCUUGUGUGCCCACUUCAUCCGGGCUAUCCGCCGUGUCUGACGCGAUAUAAAGCUCUGGCGGUCAGAUGAAGAACUCCUACGUGGAUAAUGUAAUUUUUUGAGUCAGACGUGGAGACCGAAGUCCAAGACUUGAUAAGUCCACAUCCUUAUCUCUGUUCGGAGAGGUUCGCCGACGGAAACCACAUUGUCGGCGCUGGCACUUUCGUCGCGAUCAGCUACCG
rnacentral:lncRNA from 1 species